rnacentral:rRNA from 1 species
ACGCUGGCGGCAGCCUAACACAAGCAAGUCGAACGGUAACAGAAAGCAGCUUGCUGCUUUGCUGACGAGUGGCGGACGGGUGAGUAAUGUCUGGGAAACUGCCUGAUGGAGGGGGAUAACUACUGGAAACGGUAGCUAAUACCGCAUAACGUCGCAAGACCAAAGAGGGGGACCUUAGGGCCUCUUGCCAUCGGAUGUGCCCAGAUGGGAUUAGCUAGUAGGUGGGGUAACGGCUCACCUAGGCGACGAUCCCUAGCUGGUCUGAGAGGAUGACCAGCCACACUGGAACUGAGACACGGUCCAGACUCCUACGGGAGGCAGCAGUGGGGAAUAUUGCACAAUGGGCGCAAGCCUGAUGCAGCCAUGCCGCGUGUAUGAAGAAGGCCUUCGGGUUGUAAAGUACUUUCAGCGGGGAGGAAGGGAGUAAAGUUAAUACCUUUGCUCAUUGACGUUACCCGCAGAAGAAGCACCGGCUAACUCCGUGCCAGCAGCCGCGGUAAUACGGAGGGUGCAAGCGUUAAUCGGAAUUACUGGGCGUAAAGCGCACGCAGGCGGUUUGUUAAGUCAGAUGUGAAAUCCCCGGGCUCAACCUGGGAACUGCAUCUGAUACUGGCAGGCUUGAGUCUCGUAGAGGGGGGUAGAAUUCCAGGUGUAGCGGUGAAAUGCGUAGAGAUCUGGAGGAAUACCGGUGGCGAAGGCGGCC